rnacentral:rRNA from 1 species
AUUGAACGCUGGCGGCAGGCCUAACACAUGCAAGUCGAACGAGCGGCGGACGGGUGAGUAAUGUCUGGGAAACUGCCUGAUGGAGGGGGAUAACUACUGGAAACGGUAGCUAAUACCGCAUACCAUCAGAUGUGCCCAGAUGGGAUUAGCUAGUAGGGGGGGUAAAGGUUCACCUAGGCGACGAUCCCUAGCUGGUCUGAGAGGAUGACCAGCCACACUGGAACUGAGACACGGUCCAGACUCCGACGGGAGGCAGCAGUGGGGAAUAUUGCACAAUGGGCGCAAGCCUGAUGGAGCAAUGCCGCGUGUGUGAAGAAGGCCUUCGGGUUGUAAAGCACUUUCAGCGGGGAGGCGUUACCCGCCGAAGAAGCACCGGCUAACUCCGUGCCAGCAGCCGCGGUAAUAC